UUGGCGCUGAUCUGAAGAACUCGUUUUUUGAGUUCACUUCUUUAUUGCGGUGGCGAGUACCUUUAGCAACUCACUCCAUCUCUUGAUUGCAUGGUUGCAAGACACAUAAUUGCAACAGGUUUCACAAGGCAAGCCUCACAGGCCGAAAGUUGUCCACCAGUUCUACGUGUGAAUUCAAAAUGAAAGCUCUCCUGCUGGUUUGCGUGCUCCUAUUCGCAGCAGCGUGCAUGGCGCAGCGCGGAUAUCCUGAUAUUUUCCGGCCUGGAGGUACUGGACCCUGCAGGGCUGCAAUUCCUCGGUAUUUCUGCAACCGCGGUCGCUGCGAGCAGUUCCUCUACGGCGGAUGCCAGGGGGGCGCUAACAAUUUCAGAUCCCUGCAGGAAUGCCAAAGAAACUGCGGAGGAUUUGGGCCACCUGGCGGAUUUGGGGGAUUCCGAGGAUAAGGGCACAUGAAGUUUCCUUAAAUGUGCAAGCAAGCGUUCAAGAGGUCUCCACACGUGAAGACGUAUACGGUUGCUUCGUGUGACAAUAUAAGCGGACAUCACGGGGCCCGGGAUACCUGGAAAACAUAUAAAGUUUGAUCUAAACUGUUAUAGCUGUUUGUAUAGUUUGGAUAAAAUAAACUUGAAAGGUGAAUUUGCUUGAUUAUAAA